rnacentral:rRNA from 1 species
CAGCAGUGGGGAAUAUUGGACAAUGGGCGGAAGCCUGAUCCAGCAACGCCGCGUGAGGGAUGACGGCCUUCGGGUUGUAAACCUCUUUCACCAUUGACGAAGCUGCCUGUUUUUGCGGGUGGUGACGGUAGGUGGGGAAGAAGCACCGGCCAACUACGUGCCAGCAGCCGCGGUAAUACGUAGGGUGCGAGCGUUGUCCGGAAUUAUUGGGCGUAAAGGGCUCGUAGGCGGUUUGUCGCGUCGGGAGUGAAAACCUCGGGCUUAACUCGGGGCUUGCUUUCGAUACGGGCAGACUAGAGGUAUGCAGGGGAGAACGGAAUUCCUGGUGUAGCGGUGAAAUGCGCAGAUAUCAGGAGGAACACCGGUGGCGAAGGCGGUUCUCUGGGCAUGAUCUGACGCUGAGGAGCGAAAGUGUGGGGAGCGAACAGGAUUAGA